rnacentral:rRNA from 1 species
UACGGGGGGAGCAAGCGUUGUUCGGAUUUACUGGGCGUAAAGGGCGCGUAGGCGGUCAGCACAAGUCAGUUGUGAAAUCUCCGGGCUUAACUCGGAAAGGUCAACUGAUACUGUGCGACUAGAGUGCAGAAGGGGCAACUGGAAUUCUCGGUGUAGCGGUGAAAUGCGUAGAUAUCGAGAGGAACACCAAUGGCGAAGGCAGCUUCUUGGUCCAUGCCUGACGUUGAGGCACGAAAGCGUGGGGAGCAAACAGG